GACGAACGCUGGCGGCGUGCUUAACACAUGCAAGUCGAACGGAAAGGCCCUGCUUUUGUGGGGUGCUCGAGUGGCGAACGGGUGAGUAACACGUGAGUAACCUGCCCUUGACUUUGGGAUAACUUCAGGAAACUGGGGCUAAUACCGGAUAGGAGCUCCUGCUGCAUGGUGGGGGUUGGAAAGUUUCGGCGGUUGGGGAUGGACUCGCGGCUUAUCAGCUUGUUGGUGGGGUAGUGGCUUACCAAGGCUUUGACGGGUAGCCGGCCUGAGAGGGUGACCGGCCACAUUGGGACUGAGAUACGGCCCAGACUCCUACGGGAGGCAGCAGUGGGGAAUAUUGCACAAUGGGCGGAAGCCUGAUGCAGCAACGCCGCGUGCGGGAUGACGGCCUUCGGGUUGUAAACCGCUUUCGCCUGUGACGAAGCGUGAGUGACGGUAAUGGGUAAAGAAGCACCGGCUAACUACGUGCCAGCAGCCGCGGUGAUACGUAGGGUGCGAGCGUUGUCCGGGUUUAUUGGGCGUAAAGGGCUCGUAGGUGGUUGAUCGCGUCGGAAGUGUAAUCUUGGGGCUUAACCCUGAGCGUGCUUUCGAUACGGGUUGACUUGAGGAAGGUAGGGGAGAAUGGAAUUCCUGGUGGAGCGGUGGAAUGCGCAGAUAUCAGGAGGAACACCAGUGGCGAAGGCGGUUCUCUGGGCCUUUCCUGACGCUGAGGAGCGAAAGCGUGGGGAGCGAACAGGCUUAGAUACCCUGGUAGUCCACGCUGUAAACGGUGGGUACUAGGUGUGGGGUCCAUUCCACGGGUUCCGUGCCGUAGCUAACGCUUUAAGUACCCCGCCUGGGGAGUACGGCCGCAAGGCUAAAACUCAAAGGAAUUGACGGGGCCCCGCACAAGCGGCGGAGCAUGCGGAUUAAUUCGAUGCAACGCGUAGAACCUUACCUGGGUUUGACAUGGAUCGGGAGUGCUCAGAGAUGGGUGUGCCUCUUUUGGGGUCGGUUCACAGGUGGUGCAUGCCUGUCGUCAGCUCGUGUCGUGAGAUGUUGGGUUAAGUCCCGCAACGAGCGCAACCCUUGUUCACUGUUGCCAGCACGUUAUGGUGGGGACUCAGUGGAGACCGCCGGGGUCAACUCGGAGGAAGGUGGGGAUGACGUCAAGUCAUCAUGCCCCUUAUGUCCAGGGCUUCACGCAUGCUACAAUGGCUGGUACAGAGAGUGGCGAGCCUGUGAGGGUGAGCGAAUCUCGGAAAGCCGGUCUCAGUUCGGAUUGGGGUCUGCAACUCGACCUCAUGAAGUCGGAGUCGCUAGUAAUCGCAGAUCAGCAACGCUGCGGUGAAUACGUUCCCGGGGC
rnacentral:rRNA from 1 species